UCUUGACGAACGCUGGCGGCGUGCCUAAUACAUGCAAGUAGAACGCUGAAGAGAGGAGCUUGCUCUUCUUGGAUGAGUUGCGAACGGGUGAGUAACGCGUAGGUAACCUGCCUUGUAGCGGGGGAUAACUAUUGGAAACGAUAGCUAAUACCGCAUAACAAUAGGUGACACAUGUCAUUUAUUUGAAAGGGGCAAUUGCUCCACUACAAGAUGGACCUGCGUUGUAUUAGCUAGUAGGUGAGGUAACGGCUCACCUAGGCGACGAUACAUAGCCGACCUGAGAGGGUGAUCGGCCACACUGGGACUGAGACACGGCCCAGACUCCUACGGGAGGCAGCAGUAGGGAAUCUUCGGCAAUGGGGGCAACCCUGACCGAGCAACGCCGCGUGAGUGAAGAAGGUUUUCGGAUCGUAAAGCUCUGUUGUAAGUCAAGAACGAGUGUGAGAGUGGAAAGUUCACACUGUGACGGUAGCUUACCAGAAAGGGACGGCUAACUACGUGCCAGCAGCCGCGGUAAUACGUAGGUCCCGAGCGUUGUCCGGAUUUAUUGGGCGUAAAGCGAGCGCAGGCGGUUUGAUAAGUCUGAAGUUAAAGGCUGUGGCUCAACCAUAGUUCGCUUUGGAAACUGUCAAACUUGAGUGCAGAAGGGGAGAGUGGAAUUCCAUGUGUAGCGGUGAAAUGCGUAGAUAUAUGGAGGAACACCGGUGGCGAAAGCGGCUCUCUGGUCUGUAACUGACGCUGAGGCUCGAAAGCGUGGGGAGCGAACAGGAUUAGAUACCCUGGUAGUCCACGCCGUAAACGAUGAGUGCUAGGUGUUGGAUCCUUUCCGGGAUUCAGUGCCGCAGCUAACGCAUUAAGCACUCCGCCUGGGGAGUACGACCGCAAGGUUGAAACUCAAAGGAAUUGACGGGGGCCCGCACAAGCGGUGGAGCAUGUGGUUUAAUUCGAAGCAACGCGAAGAACCUUACCAGGUCUUGACAUCCCGAUGCUAUUUCUAGAGAUAGAAAGUUACUUCGGUACAUCGGUGACAGGUGGUGCAUGGUUGUCGUCAGCUCGUGUCGUGAGAUGUUGGGUUAAGUCCCGCAACGAGCGCAACCCCUAUUGUUAGUUGCCAUCAUUCAGUUGGGCACUCUAGCGAGACUGCCGGUAAUAAACCGGAGGAAGGUGGGGAUGACGUCAAAUCAUCAUGCCCCUUAUGACCUGGGCUACACACGUGCUACAAUGGUUGGUACAACGAGUUGCGAGUCGGUGACGGCAAGCUAAUCUCUUAAAGCCAAUCUCAGUUCGGAUUGUAGGCUGCAACUCGCCUACAUGAAGUCGGAAUCGCUAGUAAUCGCGGAUCAGCACGCCGCGGUGAAUACGUUCCCGGGCCUUGUACACACCGCCCGUCACACCACGAGAGUUUGUAACACCCGAAGUCGGUGAGGUAACCUUUUGGAGCCAGCCGCCUAAGGUG
rnacentral:rRNA from 1 species